CUUGAUCGUUUUGGCAUUUUGCCUUUCUUAGUUGAUGCUAAGUCGGCAAAUUGGCCAGCUAUUUGGAUCGCGAGCUAACUAUGGGGGAGCACGGAUUUUGCAGAGGAGAUCUUUGUUGCCGGUGUUGGCCUCCCGUUGAUGUUGAUAACCCCUCGACCAGCUGUGGUCGUGUCGGUGUAGUUCCAAUCCCACCUUGGUCGUCUUGGU
rnacentral:lncRNA from 1 species